rnacentral:rRNA from 1 species
GAUGAACGCUGGCGGCGUGCCUAAUACAUGCAAGUCGAGCGAACGGACGAGGAGCUUGCUUCUCUGAUGUUAGCGGCGGACGGGUGAGUAACACGUGGAUAACCUACCUAUAAGACUGGGAUAACUUCGGGAAACCGGAGCUAAUACCGGAUAAUAUUUUGAACCGCAUGGUUCAAAAGUGAAAGACGGUCUUGCUGUCACUUAUAGCUGGAUCCGCGCUGCAUUAGCUAGUUGGUAAGGUAACGGCUUACCAAGGCAACGAUGCAUAGCCGACCUGAGAGGGUGAUCGGCCAGACGGGAACUGAGACACGGUCCAGACUCCUACGGGAGGCAGCAGUAGGGAAUCUUACGCGAUGGGCGAAAGCCUGACGGAGCAAAGCCGCGUGAGUGAUGAAGGUCUUCGGAUCGUAAAACUCUGUUAUUAGGGAAGAACAUAUGUGUAAGUAACUGUGCACAUCUUGACGGUACCUAAUCAGAAAGCCACGGCUAACUACGUG